rnacentral:rRNA from 2 species
CGACCCCAGGUCAGGCGGGAUUACCCGCUGAAUUUAA